rnacentral:tRNA from 1 species
GCCCAAGUGGUGGAAUUGGUAGACACGCUAUCUUGAGGGGGUAGUGCCGAAAGGCGUGCCGGUUCGAGUCCGGCCUUGGGCACCA